rnacentral:rRNA from 1 species
AACGUAGGACACAAGCGUUAUCCGGAAUUACUGGGCGUAAAGCGCGUGUAGGCGGCCCUGCAAGUCGGGUGUGAAAUCCCACGGCUCAACCGUGGAAGUGCAUUCGAAACUGCAGGGCUAGAGUCCUGGAGAGGAAGGUGGAAUGCUUGGUGUAGAGGUGAAAUUCGUAGAUAUCAAGCGGAACACCGGUGGCGAAGGCGGCCUUCUGGACAGUGACUGACGCUGAGACGCGAAAGCGUGGGGAGCAAACAGG